UACGUAGGGGGCGAGCGUUGUCCGGAUUAACUGGGCGUAAAGGGUGCGUAGGCGGGUUUUUAAGUCAGGGGUGAAAUCCCGAGGCUCAACCUCGGAACUGCCUUUGAUACUGGAAAUCUUGAGUCUGGGAGAGGUGAGUGGAACUGCGAGUGUAGAGGUGAAAUUCGUAGAUAUUCGCAAGAACACCGGUGGCGAAGGCGGCUCACUGGCCCGGAACUGACGCUGAGGCACGAAAGCGUGGGGAGCAAACAGG
rnacentral:rRNA from 1 species